GAUGAACGCUAGCGGUGUGCCUAAUGCAUGCAAGUCGAACGGGAUCCUUUGGAUUCGUCUGAAGGUGAGAGUGGCGAACGGGUGAGUAACACGUAGGUGACCUGCCCCGGAGAGGGGGACAACCACUGGAAACGGUGGCUAAUACCCCAGAUGUUAUUGCGCUUAGAAAGCAAUUACUAAAGUUCCGGCGCUCCGGGAGGGGCCUGCGGCCCAUCAGCUUGUUGGUAAGGUAAUGGCUUACCAAGGCUAAGACGGGUAGGGGGCGUGAGAGCGUGACCCCCCACACUGGUACUGAGACACGGACCAGAUACCUGCGGGUAGCAGCAGCAAGGAAUAUUGCCCAAUGGACGAAAGUCUGAGGCAGCAACACCGCGUGGAGGAUGAAGGCCUUCGGGUUGUAAACUCCUUUUCUGGGGGAAGAGAAAGGACGGUACCCCAGGAAUAAGUCUCGGCUAACUACGUGCCAGCAGCCGCGG
rnacentral:rRNA from 1 species